AUACAGAGGGUGCGAGCGUUAAUCGGAAUUACUGGGCGUAAAGCGCGCGUAGGCGGCUUAUUAAGUCGGAUGUGAAAUCCCCGGGCUCAACCUGGGAACUGCAUCUGAUACUGGUAAGCUAGAGUUUUGGAGAGGGAAGUAGAAUUUCAGGUGUAGCGGUGAAAUGCAUAGAGAUCUGAAGGAAUACCAGUGGCGAAGGCGACUUCCUGGCCAAAAACUGACGCUGAGGUGCGAAAGCGUGGGUAGCAAACGGGAUUAGAUACCCUAGUAGUCC
rnacentral:rRNA from 1 species